UGCAAUUAUGUGUAAUUAAACACAAACGUUACAUUCUUGUUACAAAGGCCUAUAAAAUGGCUUAGUUUUGUCAGUUUACAUAUACGAUUUCUAAGCAAUAAACCAUACUAUUAUUCCAUGCUAUUGCAACUUGCUCUCGUUACUCUAAAUUAUCUAGCUCGAUCGAUUGUUAACUAGAGGAAAAAUCCUUAUAAGUGGCUCAUCAAAAGUUGCCCUUAUCAAACAAGUGCAACCUUUAAAAAAUAAAAAAAAAAAAAAAAAAAAAUAAUUCUGAAAUAUUUUCCCUCCUAAACGUGAAGCGCAACUUUUUCCCUAACAUUUUGGCCCCCUUCAUUCUUUUCUCUCUCGCAGUACACUCCGGCCAGCAUUUUUAACUCCGGCCAGCAUUUUUCACUCUGCCCUAACAUACACGUACCGCUUCACGUAAUUCUCCUCCAGAAUUCAUCACCGGCCAACAUCACCACCGGCCAGCAUCAACACCGGCUUCUCAGUCACUCUUCGUCGGCCGUUCUUCGCAGUCAAUCUUCGCCGGCCGUUCGUCGCAGCAGCAGCCCGAGUCUAGCUGUGUCCUCCUCAGCGUCAUCUUCACCGGCGACGAGGUCACUGCGGCUCCAGUUGUAGUCGUUCAAUCUGGAAAGUUCCGAUGAGUACUUUGAUUCUGCUGAAAUUAUAUAAAUUUCGUUUUUUUUUUCGACUUUUUGUUGAUUUCUGCUAAAUUGGUUGAUUCUUUUGUUGUUUUUAGGAAAGAGAGGCGCAGAAGAUUCAAUUGAGAAGGCUAUGAGCGCGAAGAAGCAGUAGAUAUUAAAGAAUGAGGAUGUGAUAGCUCAGCAGAAGGCGGUGAAGAAGAAGAAGCCUAAGAAGAAAGUAGCAGCAGUGACUCUGAUGAAGAUGAUACGGAGUAUUGAUUUAGACUCUGAGGAAGAGCUAAGGUCAAGUUACUCUUUUAUUUUAUUUUAAUGUAUAUUUGAACUUUUAGUAUUCCCUUGUUAUAAGAUCGUAUGAUAAUUGAUAAGUAAUUAAGUUGGAUUGUAGCAGUACUGUAGUCGCAAAUUAAGAAAAUUUCAAUUUCAAUUCCAACUGUUAAUUUGUGGAUUUA